rnacentral:rRNA from 1 species
CCUACGGGGGGCUGCAGUGGGGAAUAUUGGACAAUGGGCGAAAGCCUGAUCCAGCCAUGCCGCGUGUGUGAAGAAGGCCUUCGGGUUGUAAAGCACUUUCAGUGGGGAAGAAAGCCUUGGGGCUAAUACCCUCGAGGAAGGACAUCACCCACAGAAGAAGCACCGGCUAACUCCGUGCCAGCAGCCGCGGUAAUACGGAGGGUGCGAGCGUUAAUCGGAAUUACUGGGCGUAAAGCGCGCGUAGGCGGUCUGAUAAGCCGGUUGUGAAAGCCCCGGGCUCAACCUGGGAACGGCAUCCGGAACUGUCAGGCUAGAGUGCAGGAGAGGAAGGUAGAAUUCCCGGUGUAGCGGUGAAAUGCGUAGAGAUCGGGAGGAAUACCAGUGGCGAAGGCGGCCUUCUGGACUGACACUGACGCUGAGGUGCGAAAGCGUGGGUAGCAAACAGGAUUCGAUACCCUAGUAGUC